rnacentral:rRNA from 1 species
AGUGAACGCUGGCGGUAGGCCUAACACAUGCAAGUCGAACGGCAGCACAGUAAGAGCUUGCUCUUACGGGUGGCGAGUGGCGGACGGGUGAGGAAUACAUCGGCAUCUACUUUUUCGUGGGGGAUAACGUAGGGAAACUUACGCUAAUACCGCAUACGACCUACGGGUGAAAGCAGGGGAUCUUCGGACCUUGCGCGAUUGAAUGAGCCGAUGUCGGAUUAGCUAGUUGGCGGGGUAAAGGCCCACCAAGGCGACGAUCCGUAGCUGGUCUGAGAGGAUGAUCAGCCACACUGGAACUGAGACACGGUCCAGACUCCUACGGGAGGCAGCAGUGGGGAAUAUUGGACAAUGGGCGCAAGCCUGAUCCAGCCAUACCGCGUGGGUGAAGAAGGCCUUCGGGUUGUAAAGCCCUUUUGUUGGGAAAGAAAAGCAGCAGGUUAAUACCCCGCUGUUCUGACGGUACCCAAAGAAUAAGCACCGGCUAACUUCGU